GAUGGAGAGGGUGGCAGAUCUCGCUAACCACUUGUAUAUGGCACACUAAUACAAGGAUGUGGAUUCUUAUUUGAAAAUGAGUCUACUGAAUUGACUCGAUGAAAGAGAACAUCUUAUGAAAGCCUUACUUGCAUGUCAAAGAUGGUUCUCUAAGUGAAAGUUGUGCAAGUGAUCCUUAGAUCUGAGAUCACCAUGAAAUCUUGUGCACAUGAACUCAUAUUUUGAUUCAUAUCUAGGUAUGGCAUUAAGACAUGUAUGGGAUGUUCU
rnacentral:lncRNA from 1 species